ACUGAGCGACGCGGCGGCCGCAGCGAUGGGCAGUGAGCCUGCGGGGGAGCCGACGGGUCCUGAGGAGCACUUGGGGGAGACGGCAGCGGGGACCCGGCCUCAACCUUGAGCUGCGGCGGGGGCGCGCGAGUCCGGCGCACCAAGCGAGCCGCUGGCCACUUCUAGGGGGGCCCUGAGGGGCGAGCGGCCCGUGUGGCCGGCAUCCCGAUCCCGGGGCUCCGUGACUUGGCCCUGAGCAUCUCCGGGGUCAAGGAGUGUCUUCAGAGGCCGCCCGGGGCCCAGCGCUGCCGCCACCGAGCCCCGGGGCGCCCCCUGGAUGGCCAAGUUGCCCCUUCGCCGGCCGCCCAGGCGCCGCAGCGGCUGAGGUCGCUGGGAUCGCCCGGCCGCCGCCCCCAUCGCCCGCCCCUGCAUGCCCGGCGCCCGGGUCGCAGCCCAUCUAGACGCUCUGGGCCCCCUGGUCUCCUACGUGCAGCCACAGCUGCUGCCCUCUAUGUUCUACGUGGGCCUGUUCUUCGUCAAUGUGCUGAUCCUCUACUACGCCUUCCUCAUGGAAUACAUCGUUCUCAAUGUGGGCCUCGUCUUCCUGCCCGAGGACUUGGACCAGGCGCUGGUGGACCUCGGCGUUCUCUCAGACCCUGGCUCUGGCCUUUACGAUGCCGAUUCAGAGCUCGACGUCUUCGAUGGAUAUUUGGAAUAAGGUCUUGAUUACUGUUCCCCACUUGCCUUCCACCUUCCGCAACUCUUGGCCUGGACCAGCCGCCCGUAUCAUGCCGCUGCCACUGGUUGGGGGCACCAUCUGGACAGGGAUGGGACCCCAGGAAGAGGCCCGCAUAGCCAGUCUUGGGAAUACCAUUUAACUCCACAUGUUGGUGGCCUCUUUUAUAAAACAGGGGUAAUGAAAAUCUGCCUUGUCGAGAGGACAGAGAGUUGGACCUCCCUGCAUGGUAGCUGGUCCAUGAACAUCAACCACUGUUGUAGACAGCUGCCAGGGAGGUGGCCAGAUUGCUACCACACCCGUGGCCGUGAGCCAGGUGGCCUCCCGCUGCACAGCCUGCCUCUAGCACAGAGAUCCCAGAUGUCUGCAGAGCUGGGCAAUUUUGGGCCUGCUUGUGCCAACACCCGGGUUCCUGCUCCAACCCAGGCGUCUGCCAAGAGAAGUGAGGACUCAGUGCCAGGAUGGGGAGUUGCCAGGACCUCCGAAGGCCUCGCCUGCCACCUGGCUCUCCACUGUCCUGGAUCUUGCUUGUGACUCGACACCUUUGUGAUGGAUGUUUACAGGAACCCAACCAGAUGUCACCUCUCUGCACUUCACCCCCAGCUGCACCUGCCUCCCCCACUUAACCUCUGGGAAGGACAUGGAGAGCUGAAGUGGUAAAGGGACUCAUAUGUAGGCUGCUCCGUCAGCGUCGUGUGGUGCCAGGUCACCUUAAGCCUGGGAAGACUUCAGACCCAAGACUGUGGAUCAUAGUUUCAGGGAGUCACUCUGAAGAGGGCUAUGCCAGGGCCCAGGCAGGGUUUAACCUCUCCAGGUUGACAGAACUGAGAUACUGCACUGGAGAAAGCCAUGCUGUCUCUGGCUAGAAAUCUAUUUUUGGAAGUGUGAGUGGUGUGCAAAGUGUGAAUGAUGUCGGUCCUUGAUUUCCAUAAACCUGUCUGUAAAAGCAAUACUUAGAGGCUGACUUAUUUCAUUAAAAAAAUGUAAGCAAC